AAUCAACGCUGGCGGCGUGCCUCAGACAUGCAAGUCGAACGAUUAAAGCUCCCUUCGGGGAGUGCAUAAAGUGGCGCACGGGUGAGUAACACGUAAGUAAUCUACCUCUGAGUGGGGAAUAACAACCGGAAACGGUUGCUAAUACCGCAUAACGCAGCGGCACCGCAAGGUGACAGUUGUUAAAGAUUUAUCGCUUGGAGAGGAGCUUGCGGCAGAUUAGCUUGUUGGUAAGGUAACGGCUUACCAAGGCUACGAUCUGUAACCGGUCUAAGAGGACGGUCGGUCACACUGACACUGAAUAACGGGUCAGACUCCUACGGGAGGCAGCAGUCGGGAAUUUUGGGCAAUGGGGGAAACCCUGACCCAGCAACGCCGCGUGAAGGAUGAAGUAUUUCGGUAUGUAAACUUCGAAAGAAUAGGAAGAAUUAAUGACGGUACUAUUUAUAAGGUCCGGCUAACUACGUGCCAGCAGCCGCGGUAAUACGUAGGGACCAAGCGUUGUUCGGAUUUACUGGGCGUAAAGGGCGCGUA
rnacentral:rRNA from 1 species